rnacentral:rRNA from 1 species
AGAACGAACGCUGGCGGCAGGCUUAACACAUGCAAGUCGAACGCUCGUAGCAAUACGGGAGUGGCAGACGGGUGAGUAACGCGUGGGAACAUACCCUCCGGUUCGGAAUAGCUCAGGGAAACUUGGAUUAAUACCGGAUACGGCUGAGAGGCGAAAGAUUUAUCGCCGGAGGAUUGGCCCGCGUUCGAUUAGCUUGUUGGUGAGGUAACGGCUCACCAAGGCGAUGAUCGAUAGCUGGUCUGAGAGGAUGAUCAGCCACAUUGGGACUGAGACACGGCCCAAACUCCUACGGGAGGCAGCAGUGGGGAAUAUUGGACAAUGGGCGCAAGCCUGAUCCAGCCAUGCCGCGUGAGUGAUGACGGCCUUAGGGUUGUAAAGCUCUUUUACCCGGGAAGAUAAUGACGGUACCGGGAGAAUAAGCCCGGCUAACUUCGUGCCAGCAGCCGC